rnacentral:rRNA from 1 species
UACGUAGGGUGCGAGCGUUUGUCCGGAAUUAUUGGGCGUAAAGGGCUCGUAGGCGGUUUGUCGCGUCGGGAGUGAAAACCUUGGGCUUAACUCAGGGCUUGCUUUCGAUACGGGCAGACUAGAGGUAUGCAGGGGAGAACGGAAUUCCUGGUGUAGCGGUGAAAUGCGCAGAUAUCAGGAGGAACACCGGUGGCGAAGGCGGCGAUCUGGGUCGAUACUGACGCUGAGGUGCGAAAGCGUGGGGAGCAAACAGG